rnacentral:lncRNA from 1 species
ACAAAUUACGUAAGUGUGCAGCCGAUAACACACGCAUUCAAAGACCAACGAUCCCAUUAUUCACUCCUCAACAAGCACACGGGCAACGAUAAAUAGCCGCACACGAACAUCGAGCAGGAGGGCCAUGAUCGAGCACAAAUCACGUAAGUGUGCAAGUCCGAUAAACUGUACGAA